GCCGGCUGCGCCGCUCGCCUCCAAGGGAGCGUUCCGUGCUGGCCCCUCGCUCGGCUCCGCUCCGCCUCCGCCACGCCGCUCUCCGAGCUUCGGCAGCAGCCAGCGCCCCCUCCACGCUGCGACCCCGGCUCUCGGCUCUCCGUCCCUGUAGCUCCGUGCCCAGCACCUCGCGCCCCGCAACCUCGCCGUCUCCCAAGUCCCGGGCCCCGCUUCUGUCGCUGUCCGUCGCUGUCCGUGUGUCGCUCGCUCGGUCUGUCUCUCCGCCUCCCCAGCCCUUCCUUCCUCCCUGUCUCCCUCGCUGGCUUGCACGUUCGCUCGCUCUCGGACGCGGCGAAACAGCUUCGCAGGCAAAUCCCAGAAACCUUUGCAAAAAGCUUGCAAUGAAAUUUAAGAAGUUCUUCGAUUUCGGCGCCAUUUUCGAGUGGAGCCAGAGGUACCCCCAGAUCGAUCCCCCUUCAUUGACUCCGAGGGGAUACAGCAGCAAUUCAUGUUUUGAAGUGUUCUAAAUGGUUCAAAACGUGAGGCGCUGCUAUACCCCCUCGUGGGGAAGGUAGAAGGUGGGGUCUGCCGGACGCGUGUUCCUGCCACCAGGUGCCCGCUCCCCGCGAGGCCGGCUCAGGAGCAGGUAGGUGGGCGGGGGCUCGCGUCUCUGUUUCCGGCGGGUCCUCGCCCUUGUCCACGCAGCAGGGCUGUAGUCCGGGGAGGGCAGUAUUCCUGGCUAGGCUGGGGCGCAUAGGCGGUGCGAGUCGAGGAGAGACGCGGUGCCCGCGCUCAGCCGUGCCCUAGCAGCGGGAACAGUUCUGCAGUGAGCGAUCGGUGCUCUGGGGUAUUGUUUCCGCUGCCAGGGUAAGUCUGGGACUGCCGUUCGGGCCUACCCAGCAGGUAAGUCUUAGGCCAUCGCCUGCGGUGUCGGCCCCGGGAGCAGCGAGACCCAAGAUUGCAUCAAACGUUUGCCCCGUCUCUGCAUAUGUGACUGGACGUGAAUGAUGCUUCAUUUUGGCACCCCCUUUCCCUGCUCAGGUAGAAUGUAAACAAUUGAAAAAAAUCCCUUCCCAAUCAGAAUACCACCCACAGGACAACGAAGAAAACCUAUCUUCAGUCCCCACCCACGAAAUGCUGGGGGGUGGGGAGGACUGGAAAAGGAGUAAGGGGAGAGGAAGGGUGAGCAGCUGCAAGAAGUCUUUACACCUCUCUGCGGUUCCUGGUAAACGCGCUCAUGUCCUGGGUAUGGAAGGGACUUAAGAAUUCAGGAAAGAUCAAAAUAACGGGCCUCUUCCCCACUCCCUCGCCCUCCCUUCCCCGCUGCUGGGGGGUUAGGGAGGCUCCGUGGAGCUCCAGCACUCUAGAAGGAUCGGGUGAGGCGCGAGGCCUUGCGGGCGGGUGAACCCAAGGUGGGGUGGAAGGCUCCAACCCGCCCAAUCUGAGCCCGAGGCCUGCUGAGAAGCAUGGGGGCCUUGGGAUAGUUCCAGAAUGAGGAUGUGCGUUUCUAGCUGCUUUGCGCCCUCCUCCCCCAAAAAUCUGCUACCACAAUUCCAACCCGGCGGCACGCCCCCAAGACUCCUUUGUCGCCCCAGGGGCGGGACCUGAGCUGUCGAUUUCAGGAGCCCUUCGUGACUUCAAAAGUCCUGGGCACUGUUGCUCAUGAGUGCUGCACAACUGUCGCCCUCUAAAGCCACCUCCAUCCCUCACUGGGCUGGCCUCCUGAGCCUUCGGUGAGGAAACGGGGUUCCGAGUUGCCCGCCUGAGAGCUUAACAGUCUGACUAGAAAAGGGCUAAUUCGCUUUCUGUGCAAAUCUCUUGAGCUAAUUAUUUAAUCUGAAACAUGGACAGGUAAAGGACCAUUGGCGGGCGUGGGGAGGGAGGUGUGGAAUCUUUCCCACACUUUUUGUCACCUUAAAGAAAAAAAAAAGACACCCAAACUCCUCUGGUCUGAAUGGGCUGCCUGGAACUGGGCUUCCCGGGGCCAGGAGUGGGCCCCUAGAAGUUUCCCAGUUUGGGGUGGGGCCGGGGUUCCGAAGUCUAGAGCUGGGAGUCGGGUUCAGCGGCCCGAGACGCUGGCUCUCCCAGACUCCCUUGCGCCGGGGCAGUGCGCGGGGGCGGCUCGGGUCCCUCCCGGGCCGGCGGGGACCCUCAGGCUCCCGGGGCGCCGCCCACCAGCCCGACCCGGCGGCCUAGAAAUCCCCAUUCUGCUCCCGCCUCGCCCCGGCCGGCCAGCGCAGGGCCCCUCAGGCCCGCAAUCUCCAGGCUCAAACGGCGAACAGGUCCCCGCAUCCGCCUGCCUUUGCACUUGGGGGUGGGAGAGCCACCUUGUGACGCCCCUUCUGCCUCUCACCAGCUUCCCCCUUUCUCCCCGUCCUGUACGGUUCCCCCUGGAGCCAGAAGGAAGCCCGGUGCCAGCCAGCCUUCCUGAAAGACCAAGCCCGCGCCAUCCGGCUUCCUCCAGUGGACGCCUGCAGGACCCAGGAAUGUUUUUCUUGAAGGCAUCCAGCAUCUCCAGUUAGCAGUACUGAUUUUUUUUCCCCCCAACAAAGGAACACUACAUCAACACUGUUGGCGGGGACCUGGACACAGAAGACUCCUGUUUCAAGAAAAUACAAUCAUCUCUCAAAGGCUGUAAUUUAUAUGCAUUUUAAAACUCUAGGCAUUGAAAACCACCCAAGUGUCCCAAAUAGAAGGGUAAUAUAUAAUCAAUCACUCAGUGUAAUAUUAUACAUCCUUUAAAAAUGUUAUUGGGAAAUGUUUUAUGAUCUGUAAGUCCAAGGAAUCCUCUCCCACCAUUUCUUUCCCCCCGCUGUUCCCCCAUACCCACACUUCUUUGUUCCAAUUGGCAUGUAAAUUUGGUUUUCCCGCCAAAUGAGUCAGUCAUGAUGGGAACCUCAACUGAUUUGAACAGAUGUGUGUCAAUGUUACUUGGAAAACUAGAUGUCAAUAACCAGGGUCACAGAAAAAGGCAGUGGUCACAACUCUGUAAAAAUGUAUGCAUGCACACAGACAAGAACUAAAGUGGAACCCCACACAGGAAAACAGUGGGCUGUACUCCAGUGCUGGGACAUUGAAUGACUGUAUGCUGCUUUUGAUUUCCGUUAAUAUGGGCAACUGUCCAAUUAAAAAAAAAACUCCUAAGGACUCUGCAGUGCAAAUUGUUUUGCUGAUUGUUUUAAAACACCAUACCUAUCAACUCAUCAAGGCAAAUGGGGCAGCGGGGGACUGGGUUCGUUCCCUGAAUCCUGGACUGCUAUAGAGCUCAGGGCAACAUUUGCAGAAAACCUGAGCCUAUGAG
rnacentral:lncRNA from 10 species